AUUGUUGAUGUUUUGAUACUUAAAAAAAAAAUUAUACCAAUUCUUUUUUUUCUUCUUCUCUCUCUCUUUUCCGAUAAUAUAUAUCUGCAAGGCAAACACAUAGAUCGACCAUCAGUUUGAUUUUGGGAAUUAGGGUUUGAAUUACUGUUUAGUUAAGGUGCUAAUCCGACCAAAGUGAAGGAGCACCGUAACGGUGGCUGAGAGAGCAUAGUGAUCGGUGAGUGUGGCGGCCAAGAUGAUGAAGGUUUCGGAUCAACGGAAGUCCCGGUGGAGAUGGAGGUGUGUUGCUGUUCUUCCCUCUCUUAUGUAUUUUGAAAAAUAUAAUGGUAAUGAAAAUUAUUGAGCAUAGCAGAAACAUCAUACUCAUUAUUUGCAUGUCUGGAUUCUUGUAAAAUAUGAUGGUAUUGGAUUUUUCUUAUAUUGAACAUGAUUCCAAGUUUCAAUUUAGAAAAUUUACAGUGAAUUGAGUUGAUUAUUAUUUUUGGCUACUACUGGGGAUUUUGUGUGUUGUCUAAUUGGGUUUUAUGGUUUGAUGAUUUCGAAUUCAGGAUGAUGUUUUUUUUUUUUUAAUGUAUUGUUAUAGAAUUUAUAACAAUAGUUAUAAAUUAGGUGAUUGUUAUAGAAUUUAUAUAAGACCGUGUCUUUCACUAUGUAAAUUAGGUGACUUGGUGAAAUUAGAAAAGGAAAAAAUUCUUGCUUUAGCUGAUCGAGAUUGGGGUUUGAUGUGGAUGAAGUUUUUUUUUAAACUGAUAUGUUUUUGUUUAUGGAUUAAUGAGCAGAAAGCGUGGGAAGUAGUGCAAUCUCCAUUUAAGAAUUCGAUGAUGAUGGGUUUCAUGAUGUGGAUGGCUGGAAACACAGUCCAUCUAUUUAGCAUUGGUAUUACAUUCUCUGCUCUUUGGCAGCCUAUCAGCGCUCUCCAGAGUGUUGGAAAGAGUAAGAACCUUCUUUACAUUACUAUUAUUCAUCUUAGCCUUAUAUGCAAUUUGACGUCAUAUACUCACAAGUCUCACAUUAGUCAGCCCACAAUGGUAUGUACCUAUACAAGCCAAGUUCUCUACGGUAGUUGCUAGCUGGGGUGGUGAUCUUUUGGACCGUGUGGCAUUCUAUCACUCUCUCUUGCUCCAAGAGAUAACCAUGAAGCUCCGGUUCAGUUUGCUCUUGAAAGUGGGAUUCCUGCGAUUCUUCGCAUAAUCUCUACGCAACGCCUCCCCUUCCCUUGGGAUGCAUUUGAUAUGGCUCAUUGCUCGAGAGUCUUAUUCCCUGGACAUAAUUUGGUGGAUCUAUUCGACUCCUCCUGAUUCAAUCAAUUGCAUCAGACAGAGAGAACAGAGUGCACAGAUCUUUCUUCGUUUGAUGAUGAUACGAGAAGUAGAAAAGUUGGAAUAGAGAUGAAGAGACAGAAUAGGAGAGCAUUGGGUGUGGUGAUUAACCAGAAUCUCGUUGGUUCAAAAGCUUAUCCUUGCGUUGUUAACAAGAGAAGAGGCUUCUCUCAACUCAACCCUCUCUCUCUCAAAAUAUUUUUUUUUCAAAAUUAAGAACUCCAAUACAAGCUUCACCAUUGGAGAAGCAAAAUUUUAAUUACUCUUUCACAA